CCGCUUGUCUGCUCCCUGUGAAGAGAAAAUCUCCAUCUUUUUUGCAGCUGUGCGUGUACCCGUAUGGUUUGUGAAAUAGGUGUCCAGUUCUUGCCGCUUUCGCAGAACCCGCUGCUGUGGGCACGGCCAAGGACUUCAACACAUGCCUCUCCUACACACUGUUUUAAUGCUAUUUGCCCCCGGCACAUUCCUUAGCUGCGCAAUUCAACAGUUAUACUUUGUCAUCUGUAGUAUUUCCACCCUAGAAUAUCAAUUUACAGCCCUGCGUUACAGCGUGUCCUCAAAAAGCGAGAAGUGAAAGGAGAGAAGUUAUAUAACUGGUCUGGUGCUGCAAAGCCAGCCAGCCACCAGCAGGAUUGCAUUGCAGGGAUUCCCGCCUUCUAAAACACCCUCUUCUUCCCCAAAAGUCCUGCUACCUCGACCCCUAAGGCAAUAUACAUGCUUCAUCUCAAAAUCAGACCAUCUUUUUGACCGUGGCGUUCUGCGUCUGACGCUGAAGGGGAGCUGGAGGCAUAAAGCUCAGUCAGGUGAGGAAUAUCAGCACACGGUGAGCCCAGAAGAAAGAAUGGCUGGUGUAUCUGUCUGGGAGUGGUGGGAUACCCAUCUUACCAUUGACUCAGCUACUUCUUAAUUUCACAUGCUUUGAGAAGAUAAUCUUCCUAGAGAGAUAGAGCCAGAGCAAGCAUCCUGGGAA
rnacentral:lncRNA from 12 species